rnacentral:pre_miRNA from 1 species
GGGCGAUGAGGAAUCUUCUGGAAGGUGUGGUGCCACUCCGGCAGUCGCAGCCUCCUCAACAUGGGAAUGGCGACAGUUGGGUUGAGGAGGCUAGAGGUUUCCGCUCUUCAUCGAUGGCUGUCUGUCCUUGCCUCCUCGGCCCUCGCUGCCGAUGAAGAACAAGAAGUUAUCCGGCGGCGAGGGCCGAGGAGGUGAGGACGGACGUCCAUCGAUGAAGAGCGAAAACCUCCAGCCUCCUCAACUCAAUUGCCGACAUUCCCAUGUUGAGGAGGCUGCCACUGCCGGAGUGGCACCGCACCUUCCAAAAGAUUCCUCAUCGCC